rnacentral:rRNA from 1 species
UGCCCCUUAUGUCCAGGGCUGCACGCAUGCUACAAUGGCAAGUACAACGAGUCGCAAUACCGCGAGGUGGAGCAAAUCUCUUAAAGCUUGUCUCAGUUCGGAUAGGAGUCUGCAACUCGACUCCUUGAAGUUGGAGUCGCUAGUAUCGCAAAUCAGCAAGUUGCGGUGAUACGUUCUCGGGGUUUGUACACACCGCCCGUCAAGUCACGGAAGUCGGCAAUACCCGAAGCCAGUGGUCUAACCCUUUUAGGGAAGAAGCUGUCGAAGGUAGGGUCGGUAACUGGGACUAAGUCGUAACAAGGUAACC